GUGACAGGGAGGAUUGCCUUCUGCGUUCACUGUGGGCCUCUCUUACCCAACACCUCCAUGUUCUCUGCCCCUCACUCCUGACAUUAAACCCCCUCCUUAGUGAUGUCAGAGUGACCCACCUGCUCAUCCUGGCUCCCCGAACUGAGAUACCUCACUGGUCUUCCACCAAACUCACCUUCACGUCCCCAGCACACUCCACAUCUCUCUCUCUCUCUCUCUCUCUCUCUCUCUCUCUCUCUCUCUCUCACACACACACACACACACACACACACACACACACACAAUAGCGCUCACAGUCACAAUAUACUCACAUUAUAUAUCUGCGCCAAGUUCUCAUUUGCUGCUUCAGACUCAGAUGUGAGGUGUAGCACAUUGUAAAGGUUAAGGUAAAGGUGUCUGGGUGAGCUGGCCAUAACCGUGUGGUGUGUGUGUCUCAGCGGGCACAGACGAAGCGUCCCUAGCUGCUCCCGUCGCGUCCCCACCCUUGCCUGCACUAGUGUGUGUGAGGCACUUUCACAGACGUCCACGCCUGAACCCACGGACUGUUAGAGAAAGAAGCAAGAGCAGAAGUAGAGCCAACUAUGCAACCAGACGGCCGUGUGAGUAAUUUAGGAGAACGUGGACAGAGGAACAAGGAUGACACUAAUAAGCAGACCUCUGUAUAUAUGUAUACUGAAGCGUUGAUGAUUCUGCAGACCGUGCGACAGGCCCUCGGAGAUACAGGCGUACAGUAGCAUCAGAACCUUGGAACUCUCCAGCUGCCAAUCAGACGCUCUGCUGAUUGCCGAGUCGAGCCUGAUAAGCUCUCUGCUGUAAUGGGCCGACGGCAACGGCCGCCAGUGUCUGCGCACUGAUGAGGAGAGUGUGCUUGCUGAACAAAAUCACACAGUAGAAAUGAAAGGCACACAUUUGAAUUCAAUUUUCCAAAUGUAAAAUAAAGAGAGGAAGGCAGUUUGGUCUGUGUUGGUCCCUCUUUAAACAGA
ensembl:lncRNA